UGGAUAUACUUCUGGAAAGGAACAGG
rnacentral:piRNA from 1 species